GACGAACGCUGGCGGCGUGCUUAACCCAUGCAAGUCGAACGGAAAGGCCCUGCUUUUGUGGGGUGCUCGAGUGGCGAACGGGUGAGUAACACGUGAGUAACCUGCCCUUGACUUUGGGAUAACUUCAGGAAACUGGGGCUAAUACCGGAUAGGAGCUCCUGCUGCAUGGUGGGGGUUGGAAAGUUUCGGCGGUUGGGGAUGGACUCGCGGCUUAUCAGCUUGUUGGUGGGGUAGUGGCUUACCAAGGCUUUGACGGGUAGCCGGCCUGAGAGGGUGACCGGCCACAUUGGGACUGAGAUACGGCCCAGACUCCUACGGGAGGCAGCAGUGGGGAAUAUUGCACAAUGGGCGGAAGCCUGAUGCAGCAACGCCGCGUGCGGGAUGACGGCCUUCGGGUUGUAAACCGCUUUCGCCUGUGACGAAGCGUGAGUGACGGUAAUGGGUAAAGAAACACCGGCUAACUACGU
rnacentral:rRNA from 1 species